rnacentral:rRNA from 1 species
AACUUAAGCAUAUCAAUAAGCGGAGGAAAAGAAACUAACAAGGAUUCCCCUAGUAACUGCGAGUGAAGCGGGAAAAGCUCAAAUUUAAAAUCUGGCAGUCUUUGGCUGUCCGAGUUGUAAUCUAGAGAAGCGACAUCCGCGCUGGACCGUGUACAAGUCUCCUGGAAUGGAGCGUCAUAGAGGGUGAGAAUCCCGUCUUUGACACGGACUGCCAGGGCUUUGUGAUGCGCUCUCAAAGAGUCGAGUUGUUUGGGAAUGCAGCUCAAAAUGGGUGGUAAAUUCCAUCUAAAGCUAAAUAUUGGCGAGAGACCGAUAGCGAACAAGUACCGUGAGGGAAAGAUGAAAAGAACUUUGGAAAGAGAGUUAAACAGUACGUGAAAUUGCUGAAAGGGAAACGCUUGAAGUCAGUCGCGUUGUCCAGGGAUCAACCUUGCUUUUGCUUGGUUUACUUUCUGGUUGAUGGGUCAGCAUCAAUUUUGACUAUUGGAAAAAGGUCAGGGGAAUGUGGCAUCCUUGGAUGUGUUAUAGCCCUUGGUUGUAUACAAUGGUUGGGAUUGAGGAACUCAGCACGCCGCAAGGCCGGGUUUUAAACCACGUACGUGCUUAGGAUGCUGGCAUAAUGGCUUUAAUCGACCCGUCUUGAAACACGGACCAAGGAGUCUAACAUACCUGCGAGUGUUUGGGUGGAAAACUCGAGCGCGUAAUGAAAGUGAAAGUUGAGAUCCCUGUCGUGGGGAGCAUCGACGCCCGGACCAGACCUUUUGUGACGGCUCCGCGGUAGAGCAUGUAUGUUGGGACCCGAAAGAUGGUGAACUAUGCCUGAAUAGGGUGAAGCCAGAGGAAACUCUGGUGGAGGCUCGUAGCGAUUCUGACGUGCAAAUCGAUCGUCAAAUUUGGGUAUAGGGGCGAAAGACUAAUCGAA